rnacentral:rRNA from 1 species
GACGAACGCUGGCGGCGUGCUUAACACAUGCAAGUCGAACGGAAAGGCGCUGCCCUUGUGGGGUGGUCGGGUGGCGAAGGGGAGAGGAACACGUGAGGAACGUGCCCUUCACUCUGGGACAAGUUAACGACACGAGGGCGAAGACAGGAUGGGAGCUCCUGCGGCAGGGGGGGGGUGGGUAAGGUGCGGCGGUUGGGGCGGGAGGCGCGGGGUAUGAGCCCGUUGGUGGGGUGGGGGCGGAGACGGGCUUCGACGGGUAGGCGGCCUGGGAGGGUGGGCGGCACCGCUGGGACUGAGAUAGGGGCCAGACUCGUGCGGGAGGGAGCAGUGGGGAAUAUUGCGCAGUGGGGGGGCGCCUGAUGCAGCAACGCCGUGUGCGGGGUGACGGCCUUCGGGUUGUAAACCGCUUUCGCCUGUGACGAAGCGUGAGUGACGGUAGUGGGUAAAGAAGCACCGGCUAACUACGUG